AUGUACGUCGCGCAUCCUGAGACUCAGGAGUGGGGCCGGGGCUGUCGGGCAGCAGAGUGGCCGUGUGGCCAUGCUAACCGCAGUCUCUGCUCUCACCGGGACGCAGGUUCGGGAGCAGCAGCAGCACCACGUCGUUUGGCACCCUUGCCAGUCAGAACGCACCGACUUUUGGAUCGCUGUCCCAGCAGUCUGCUGGGUUUGGGAGCCAGAGCGGGGGAUUCUCAGGCUUCGGAUCAAGCGGAGGAGGAUUCACCUUUGGAUCUUCUAACUCGUCUGUCCAGGGCUUUGGUGGCUGGAGAAGCUGAGUGGGUGUUGGCGCUCCUUUCCGUCUCUGCGACCCAGUGCGUUCUCAGCUCCCCUUCUCUGAGAAACCCUGCAGCAGUCCUCUGA
rnacentral:lncRNA from 1 species